rnacentral:rRNA from 1 species
GGCAAAAGCUCAAAUUUGAAAUCUGGCCUCUGCGAGGUCCGAGUUGUAAUUUGGAGAGGAUGUUUCGGGCACGGUCCGGGCUUAAAUUUCUUGGAACAGAAUGUCACAGAGGGUGAGAAUCCCGUCUGGAGUCCGCGGCACGGCCUAUGUGAAACUCCUUCGACGAGUCGAGUUGUUUGGGAAUGCAGCUCUAAAUGGGUGGUAAAUUUCAUCUAAAGCUAAAUAUUGGCCAGAGACCGAUAGCGCACAAGUAGAGUGAUCGAAAGAUGAAAAGCACUUUGAAAAGAGAGUUAAACAGUACGUGAAAUUGUUGAAAGGGAAGCGCUGGCAACCAGACUUGCGCGUCGGGGCUCCCCCUCGCUUCUGCUUGGGUUACUCUCCGGCGUUCAGGCCAACAUCAGUUUUGGGGGUUGGUUAAAGGCUCUGGGAAUGUAUCUACCUCUCGGGGUAGACUUAUAGCCCAGGGUGUCAUGCAGCCUCCCGGGACUGAGGAACGCGCUUCGGCUCGGAUGUUGGCGUAAUGGUUGUCAGCGACCCG